CGGUAAUUCCAGCUCCAAUAGCGUAUAUUAAAGUUGUUGCCGUUAAAAAGCUCGUAGUCGAACUUCGGCCUUUGCCGCCCGGUCCGCCCUAUGAGUGUGUACUGGAGCGGUGGAGGCUUACCUCGUGGUGAACGGCCAUGCUCUUUACUGGGUGUGGUCGGGAACCAUGAUUUUUACUUUGAAAAAAUUAGAGUGUUCAAAGCAGGCUUACGCCCGAAUACAUUAGCAUGGAAUAAUAAAAUAGGACGUGCGGUUCUAUUUUGUUGGUUUCUAGAAUCGCCGUAAUGAUUAAUAGGGAUAGUUGGGGGCAUUCGUAUUCAAUUGCUAGAGGUGAAAUUCUUGGAUUUAUUGAAGACGAACUACUGCGAAAGCAUUUGCCAAGGAUGUUUUCAUUGAUCAAGAACGAAGGUUAGGGGAUCGAAAACGAUCAGAUACCGUUGUAGUCUUAACAGUAAACGAUGCCGACUAGGGAUCGGACGAGGAUUUUUAAUGACUCGUUCGGCACCUGAAGAGAAAUCUUUAAGUCUAGGUUCGGGGGGGAGUAUGGUCGCAAGGCUGAAACUUAAAGGAAUUGACGGAAGGGCACCACCAGGUGUGGAGCCUGCGGCUUAAUUUGACUCAACACGGGGAAACUCACCAGGUCCAGACACGACAAGGAUUGACAGAUUGAUAGCUCUUUCUUGAUUUCGUGGUUGGUGGUGCAUGGCCGUUCUUAGUUGGUGGAGUGAUUUGUCUGGUUAAUUCCGAUAACGAACGAGACCUUAACCUGCUAAAUAGCCCGGCCGACUUUGGUUGGUCGCUGGCUUCUUAGAGGGACUAUCAGCGUUUAGCUGAUGGAAGUUUGAGGCAAUAACAGGUCUGUGAUGCCCUUAGAUGUUCUGGGCCGCACGCGCGCUACACUGACCGAACCAGCGAGUUUAUCACCUUGGCCGGAAGGCCUGGGUAAUCUUGUGAAACUCGGUCGUGAUGGGGAUAGAGCAUUGCAAUUAUUGCUCUUCAACGAGGAAUACCUAGUAAGCGUGAGUCAUCAGCUCGCGUUGAAUUCGUCCCUGCCCUUUGUACACACCGCCCGUCGCUACUACCGAUUGAAUGGCUUAGUGAGGUCUCCGGAUUGGCUUCUGGGAGCCGGCAACGGCACCUAGUCGCUGAGAAGUUGAACGAACUUGGUCAUUUAGAGGAGGUAAAAGUCGUAACAAGGUAGCCG
rnacentral:rRNA from 1 species